ACGCUGGCGGCGUGCCCAAUACAUGCAAGUCGAACGCACAGCGAAAGGUGCUUGCACCUUUCAAGUGAGUGGCGAACGGGUGAGUAACACGUGGACAACCUGCCUCAAGGCUGGGGAUAACAUUUGGAAACAGAUGCUAAUACCGAAUAAAACUUAGUGUCGCAUGACACAAAGUUAAAAGGCGCCUCGGCGUCACCUAGAGAUGGAUCCGCGGUGCAUUAGUUAGUUGGUGGGGUAAAGGCCUACCAAGACAAUGUUGCACAGCCGAGUUGAGAGACUGAUCGGCCACAUUGGGACUGAGACACGGCCCAAACUCCUACGGGAGGCUGCAGUAGGGAAUCUUCCACAAUGGGCGAAAGCCUGAUGGAGCAACGCCGCGUGUGUGAUGAAGGCUUUCGGGUCGUAAAGCACUGUUGUAUGGGAAGAACAGCUAGAAUAGGAAAUGAUUUUAGUUUGACGGUACCAUACCAGAAAGGGACGGCUAAAUACGUGCCAGCAGCCGCGGUAAUACGUAUGUCCCGAGCGUUAUCCGGAUUUAUUGGGCGUAAAGCGAGCGCAGACGGUUUAUUAAGUCUGAUGUGAAAGCCCGGAGCUCAACUCCGGAAUGGCAUUGGAAACUGGUUAACUUGAGUGCAGUAGAGGUAAGUGGAACUCCAUGUGUAGCGGUGGAAUGCGUAGAUAUAUGGAAGAACACCAGUGGCGAAGGCGGCUUACUGGACUGCAACUGACGUUGAGGCUCGAAAGUGUGGGUAGCAAAC
rnacentral:rRNA from 1 species